UCUAGAUGAUGAGCCUUCAUAUCAGUUCUGCUGCCGAAUGGAGAGCAAUCUCUUGUGGACAACAUCAUACCAAAACUCUCAAUCCUGACUU
rnacentral:snoRNA from 1 species